CAUAAAAGAGUGAGUAAAUGGGUCAUCUUUUGCUGGAAAGGCAGUUUCCAGCUUUCUCUGACCAGAGAGCUUUCCAUUGAAAGCUGAGAAGCCUCAACCACUUCCUAAUAUCUACAAGACAGAAAACAGGUCACCUGUGCAGUGAUGAUGAGGAGCAGCCCACAGGACCUUCCAUCUCCCUCCCUGUGCACAGGUGGAAAAGCUGAACAGAGGUGCACCAUCAGCAUGAAGAAGUAGACGAAAAUAUGGCAGUAAUGGGAAAAAAAUCAAAGGGAGGACUGUUGAAUCAUCUGCCUUGCCUUUGGAGCAAGGCUCAAAUGUAAUUUAUUUUUCUGCAGAGCAGAGAGCAUUAGGCACUCUAAUGCAUUUAAGAGAGAAAAAUUGCAAUUUCUACCGGUUGUCAUUAGAACACUGAACCACUUAAGGUUUUGAUGAUGGUUUUAUCCUGCUAUCAAAGUAUCUUGUGCAAAUUUUAAUUGGAAUAACCCGUGGCUAGACCAGAUUAAAGAGAAAGGGCAUUCUCUUGUAAUGCAGUAAGAG